rnacentral:lncRNA from 1 species
CUUUUCAAUUCUUUCAAUCUUCAAUUCCUUUCAUUUUUUUCUCCACGCUCCACCAUCGAUUUCCCCUCCCCGUUCUCUUCUCCUUCCCUGUUUUCCUCCUUCUAACAUUAAUCUCCCAAAUCAACACAAACUUUAUUCUCUCUCUUUCCCCCACCCUCUCUCUCGUCAUCAUCUCCCUCCCUUCCCUUUCAAUUCUCAAUGAACCUUGGAAGCUCCACCCUUCUCAAUCCUAAUCAACCCAAAUCUGUAAUUAACAUAUUCCAGAAUGUUCAUGGAUUUUGCAAGAUUGACUGUGAUUAUUAGGUUUUGAAAAUUAAGGAUGAAGGUGAACCCAGAUCUGUGCUCAUAUAUUGUUCAUUUAUCAAAACUAAAUAUAAACCUAAAGGUGUAGCUCCUUUUGAUUUCUAAGAGGUGAACCAAUAGUCAUGGGGUGUUGGGAAAAUUAUGAUCGUUUCUGGCUGCCGACGAGCAACCCCGGCUCCGACUGCGUUUUCUAGCGAGUUGAGUUCAGUGCAUUCAAACAUGUUUCUGCUGUAAGGGUAAAAUGACUGCGAUUUUUCUCCUUUUUGAAAAAAUGGAGUUACUGAGUAUUGUUGUUAUGGGGCCAGAUCUGAAUAUAAAAAGGAGAAGAUUUGGGUGUUCAAUUGUUUAAUGGAUUGAUGAUGUUGCAAGUUGUUACUAUUGUUGAUGAUGGUGUUGUUAAAGAAAUUGAUAGUGUUGUUGACAAUGGAUUUAUGUUGAAUCAAGUUUUCUCCUUUGUUACCGUUGUUAAUGAAAUGUGUUGUUGAUGAUGGACUGGUGAUGCUUUAGCAGUUGUUGAUGAUGGUGCAAGCUGUUAAUUGAUUAAUCCAUAUGAUGAUAUUGUUGCUGCAAGCUUUUCCAGAACAAGAUAUUAGAGAAGAAGCUCACAUGCCUAACUUUCUAAUUCCUCUUUUUUCUUUUUUUCUUCAUAUAAAUUUGAGCUUGGAAAUAAAAUUAAAAAAAAAAACAAUAAGUGCUUUUAUUUAUUUAAAUCAGAUUAAAUGCCAC